CUGGCGGCGUGCUUAACACAUGCAAGUCGAACGAAGAGCGAUGGAAGCUUGCUUCUAUCAAUCUUAGUGGCGAACGGGUGAGUAACGCGUAAUCAACCUGCCCUUCAGAGGGGGACAACAGUUGGAAACGACUGCUAAUACCGCAUACGAUCUAAUCUCGGCAUCGAGGAUAGAUGAAAGGUGGCCUCUAUUUAUAAGCUAUCACUGAAGGAGGGGAUUGCGUCUGAUUAGCUAGUUGGAGGGGUAACGGCCCACCAAGGCGAUGAUCAGUAGCCGGUCUGAGAGGAUGAACGGCCACAUUGGGACUGAGACACGGCCCAGACUCCUACGGGGGCAGCAGUGGGGGAUCUUCCGCAAUGGACGAAAGUCUGACGGAGCAACGCCGCGUGAGUGAUGACGGCCUUCGGGUUGUAAAGCUCUGUUAAUCGGGACGAAAGGCCUUCUUGCGAAUAGUUAGAAGGAUUGACGGUACCGGAAUAGAAAGCCACGGCUAACCACGUGC
rnacentral:rRNA from 1 species